GAGUUACUCGGAUAUUGGCCUGGUUCACUCAGACAAAAAUCUUUUUUUUUUAAAUAUAUAUAUAUUGUGCGUGUUCUAUUGUUAGGGUUUGAAGGAAAUUGAUUGUUAGGGUAUUGAAAAGAAGAGAAGGAAGACGUAGGGUUUUGGUUCUGAUUGAGCCGUGCCAAUAUCUCAGUAUGCCUC
rnacentral:pre_miRNA from 1 species